rnacentral:rRNA from 1 species
GAUGAACGCUGGCGGCGUGCCUAAUACAUGCAAGUAGAACGCUGAAGCUUGGUGCUUGCACCGAGCGGAUGAGUUGCGAACGGGUGAGUAACGCGUAGGUAACCUGCCUCUUAGCGGGGGAUAACUAUUGGAAACGAUAGCUAAUACCGCAUAAAAGUCGACAUUGCAUGAUGUUGACUUGAAAGGUGCAAUUGCAUCACUAAGAGAUGGACCUGCGUUGUAUUAGCUAGUUGGUGAGGUAACGGCUCACCAAGGCAACGAUACAUAGCCGACCUGAGAGGGUGAUCGGCCACACUGGGACUGAGACACGGCCCAGACUCCUACGGGAGGCAGCAGUAGGGAAUCUUCGGCAAUGGGGGCAACCCUGACCGAGCAACGCCGCGUGAGUGAAGAAGGUUUUCGGAUCGUAAAGCUCUGUUGUAAGAGAAGAACGAGUGUGAGAGUGGAAAGUUCACACUGUGACGGUAACUUACCAGAAAGGGACGGCUAACUACGUGCCAGCAGCCGCGGUAAUACGUAGGUCCCGAGCGUUGUCCGGAUUUAUUGGGCGUAAAGCGAGCGCAGGCGGUUAGAUAAGUCUGAAGUUAAAGGCUGUGGCUUAACCAUAGUACGCUUUGGAAACUGUUUAACUUGAGUGCAGAAGGGGAGAGUGGAAUUCCAUGUGUAGCGGUGAAAUGCGUAGAUAUAUGGAGGAACACCGGUGGCGAAAGCGGCUCUCUGGUCUGUUACUGACGCUGAAGCUCGAAAGCGUGGGGAGUAAAUAAGAUUAUAUACCCCUGGUCCUCCAGGGCGAAUUCCCCCCUGUAUAUUCCAGUUUACGCAUCCCUCCGACCUCGUGGCGGGAUAACAAAACACAUCCUCUUGUUUCUUUCGUGACGAGUAAUA